AACGCUAGCUACAGGCUUAACACAUGCAAGUCGCGGGGUAACGAGAGGGAAGCUUGCUUUCCUUGUCGACGACCGGCGCACGGGUGAGUAACGCGUAUCCAACCUGCCCAUUACCACGGGAUACCCCGUCGAAAGGCGGCCUAAUACCGUAUGCAGUCGUCAGAUGACAUCAGAGGACGACGAAAGGAUUGGCGGUAAUGGAUGGGGAUGCGUCUGAUUAGGUAGUUGGAGGGGUAACGGCCCACCAAGCCAUCGAUCAGUAGGGGUUCUGAGAGGAAGGUCCCCCACAUUGGAACUGAGACACGGUCCAAACUCCUACGGGAGGCAGCAGUGAGGAAUAUUGGUCAAUGGACGAGAGUCUGAACCAGCCAAGUAGCGUGCAGGAUGACGGCCCUAUGGGUUGUAAACUGCUUUUAAACGGGGAUAAAGUGAGCCACGUGUGGUUUAUUGCAGGUACCGUUUGAAUAAGGACCGGCUAAUUCCGUGCCAGCAGCCGCGGUAAUACGGAAGGUCCAGGCGUUAUCCGGAUUUAUUGGGUUUAAAGGGAGCGUAGGCGGAGCGUCAAGCCAGCAGUGAAAUGUAGCGGCCCAACCGCUGCACUGCUGUUGGAACUGGCGCCCUUGAGUGCACACGAGGUAUGCGGAAUUUGUGGUGUAGCGGUGAAAUGCUUAGAUAUCACGAAGAACUCCGAUUGCGAAGGCAGCAUACCGGAGUGCAACUGACGCUGAAGCUCGAAAGUGCGGGUAUCGAACAGGAUUAGAUACCCUGGUAGUCCGCACGGUAAACGAUGGAUGCUCGCUGUGGGCGACAAACAGUCCGCGGCCAAGCGAAAGCGUUAAGCAUCCCACCUGGGGAGUACGCCGGCAACGGUGAAACUCAAAGGAAUUGACGGGGGCCCGCACAAGCGGAGGAACAUGUGGUUUAAUUCGAUGAUACGCGAGGAACCUUACCCGGGCUUGAAUUGCUAAUGAAUGGAGUAGAGAUAUUUCAGCCGCAAGGCAUUAGUGAAGGUGCUGCAUGGUUGUCGUCAGCUCGUGCCGUGAGGUGUCGGCUUAAGUGC
rnacentral:rRNA from 1 species